UUUUACUUUUUUUUUAUUGUAUGUAAAUUUAUCAAAUUUAUUUUUAAUUUAUUUUAAAAUUUUUAAAAAUAAAAAUUUUCAAAUUUAUAUAAUUUUUUUUUUGUAUUAUUGAUUGGUCGAUAAAAAUUUUCAAGAAAAACAAUAUUUUUACAUAAAGAAGGCUGUGAACAAAAGUUAAUAUUUACAGCCAUGCAUUACUUCGGGGAAAAAAAAAUAACACGUUUAUCCAAAAGAGAGCUGCGCCUGCGGAUAUCUAGUUUCUUCUUCCUUAAGCUUGUUAUCUUCGCUCCUCAUUUUCUCUCUUUACAUUGAUAUAUCUAUCUCGCUCAGUCAGUCUGAUGAACCAUUAUUCUGGUUUCCUAGUCACUAAAACAAUGUCCUAUCAUUGUAAAUUUCAAACUAAAUGCAAUUGAAAAAGUGUCAUCUUCAAAUUAUUGAGCUUGAUCAACUUGUCUUAGUUUAAUUCCUAAGAAAUUCAGUUAUUGCAACUUACUCUAAGUUAAGUAAUAUUUUUGGUAAGUGAUUGCGAUGAAUCAAAGUAGUAAUUAUCAAAUUUAAUUAUAAAUAUUUGGCAUUCCUUUGGAAAGAGUAAACGUUGUGAUAUCUAUCUAUCUAUCUAUCUCUAUAUAUAUAUUAUGAUGCAUAUUCGAAAGUAUUUCAAUGUUAGAGGAGCUUCCAUUGGAUAUUCUUUUUUCAUUCCGAUUGGAUGGAAGUGGGAAUGGAAUGGUAAAGAUGUAGUUUGCUUUGUUUUCUUUUUUCAUUAUGUACCAAAAAAGAAUCUAAUGGUAAUGAUGAUAUGACCCUGCUUCUCAUUUCUUUUGAAAGUGGAAAUCCACGCAACCCUGUCAUUUUUAAACGGAUCAAACUGGCAACCUCCAGGAAUAGUGCCGAUCCGUGAGAAAGGUUUUAAAACUAGUGCAAGAAAUGUCAGUCAGGUUUGUUAAACGUGAAGGAAUCCUUAAUUUCAUCGUGUUUUGUUUGAAGACAGAUGUAAUCAUAGCCUGUUAAGCUGUACUUGUCAGACAAGUUGAGCACUAACCGUGAACCAAGUUGAAGUACUCGAAACAAUUGCCCCUUAAUUUGUGGUUUGAAAAAUCGGUAGUUGAAAUCGCCAAAUUGGUCUACGAGGAUGGGAAUUAGGGUAGGGAAUUAGAUGGAUAAAAUAUUAUUUAUUUUUAUCUUAUUUUUAUUUUUGUAUUUAUAUUUUAUGGAUAUUUUAACUUUAUUUUUAUUUUUAUUCUUGUAAUUAUUUAAUGGUUAUGUUAAAUUUUUAUAUCCAUA
rnacentral:lncRNA from 1 species